UUUGCUACGGUUGACGGAACCCCGACGAGCGCGCCGUACCGGGACCCUGCAAAGACGGUGCACC
rnacentral:ncRNA from 1 species